GGCGUAGCUCAGGGGUAGAGCAUCUGUUUUGCAUACAGAAGGUCCCAGGUUCAGUCCCUGCCAACUCUA